CGAAGGCUGGCGCAAGCUGACCUUCCGCUGGGGCGUGUUCUUCUUCGUGCUUGCCGCGAUCAACGAGAUUGUCUGGCGCAGCUUCUCGACCGAUUUCUGGGUCAGCUUCAAGGUCUUCGG
rnacentral:tRNA from 1 species